UCUACCUCGCGUGACUGACGCUUGAGAUGGGACACCAUCGGGGAGCGCGAGUGCAUAGCGCCGCGCGUCUGGGCAUCCUCC
rnacentral:ncRNA from 2 species